rnacentral:misc_RNA from 1 species
UUUCCGUAGGUGAACCUGCGGAAGGAUCAUUAAAGAACGCCCCGUUUUUUGAAAUGGGUAAUUCUAAACCGUGUAUACACACCUUUGUUGCUUUGGCAGGCCGCCCCUCAGGGCGUCGGCUCCGGCUGACUGCGCCUGCCAGAGGACCCAAACUCUUUUGUUUAGUGAUGUCUGAGUACUAUAUAAUAGUUAAAACUUUCAACAACGGAUCUCUUGGUUCUG